rnacentral:tRNA from 1 species
AGUCCGGUGGUGUAGUGUUAGCAUCCAAGUUUUGGAAGCUUGAGACGGAGGUUCAAUUCCUCCCCGGACUACCA